GGAAAAGAAGUAAAAACAUAAACAUAAAUAGCCACACAUGCACACUCAUAUAUCACAAGGGGAAAGGAUUUCACAACUCAAAAUUUAUCUAUCCUACUUGCUUUGAUGUUGAUAUAGGACAGGUCAGGGUCUUAACAUAAAAGGGUGUCUCAGACUCUCAGUGCACAAGCCUUCCUGCAUUGCAGCCUUAGGGCGGUCUGGUGGACAUAACCUUCCCCUUACAUUACAAGGAGGGUUCUGUAUUUUGAACCAAUGAUCUCCUGUCAAUGCGGAGCAACAUUACUAUUUUACACCAAGGCUCAUCCUCUGUCAAGGGUUUAACCUAUUCCAAAAACUAGUUCAAGUUUGAUCCAUGUCAGGAUUCAAAACAGUAUGAAAAUUCAGAUUUCGAAACCUAUUCAAUAUCAAAAAUGCUUUGCCUAGUUGGUGCACCUAAAACAAACAUAAGGUGGGAGUGAGGGUUUCAAUAAUAGGACCUUGCAUCUCAAAUAACAAAGACAAACCCUAUUUAAUAGGGUCAGAACCUGGUCGUGAAGAACCAAAACCAGGAAGAGAGUAAACAAAUAUAAAAAAAAGUACCAUUAUUAUAAUUACAUUGAAACAUCAACCAGAAGAAAAUAGCAGCAGUAAAUUAACAAAAUUUCUGAUACAUCAAGUAAAAAAUACCGAGAAAGAAAUCCUUCAUCAAUUGACAGGUGCACUUCAGAAUUCCCAAAUGACUAUAUGAAGACUAGAAAGUAACUCUAGAAGGUAAUUAUCACAAUUAUGAUAAAGAUGAAAUUAAU
rnacentral:misc_RNA from 1 species